CUUUUUUUGCCUUUUAAAAAUAGUGUAAAAGUGCGUGUCCCCGUAUUCAAUAAGAGAAUCGCAACUGUUUAUGAUCAUUGGAACUCCGAAGUAAAAAGCAUGAACAGUUAGAAUCCAUUGAGGCGGGCCGAAGUCAAAGGAACGUACCACAAAACAGGGAAGUAUAUUAGAAGGGGGAGGACAAGGUCGCCACUGAAUUACACUCGUGUUGAUGUCUUACGGCUGUAAGGCAUUGUACAUCAAGUAUGUUGCAAGCUGAACUUUGGGACGGGUGCAAACUGUAAGAUCUCAUCUCCGAGAACACAAUAUACGUCCAAUGAUAGACGAUCUGAAGAAAGUAAUUUCCAGUGCAAUUUUAUUCAGAUGGAGAGCUUUGCUUGGUAGGAGGCUCAUCUAGGUUAACCGCUGAUCGAUACAUAAGAGAGAUUGUUGAAGCUUUUGGGAUCUUAUAUAGAGGAAAAUUGCAUUUCUAUGUAAGAUAACGCACUACCGGACGCAGACAGAAUUAUAAGCGAAUACCUAUAGGAAGUUAACAUGACUGCCAUAAGCUCGCCAGAAAGAAGCGCUGACUUAAAACCCAUUGAGCAAGUCUGGAACCAAAUGGGAUCGCAGAUGCGUAUACCAACUUCAAUAUAUGCCUUUUUGAAUAUCGGAAGAAAUGCCACAGAAGUCCAUUCGAGAUCUUUUUGAGGGACUUGCGAGGCGCAUUUAGGCAGUAUUAAAAGCUCGUAAAGUAGAUUCGCGAUAUUAAACAUUUUUAUUUUAAUCGCAUUUUUGAAGAAUUAAAGUUUUGUUUCAAUGAACUAUUGUGCGCUUUAUUUUUUGCACAACUUUUUGCUUAUUACAUUUCAAACCCACAACAUGUAAAUUAAUACUAAAAAAUAAUACAGCGAUACAAAAACAUUUUUUUUUUAUUAUAAGUGAUGCGAUAAUUUUUG